GUCUGCCUGUAACUGUGUGUGACUGUCUGCCUAUAACUGAGUGUGUGACUGUCUGUCUGUAACUGAGCAUGUGACUGUCUGCCUGUAAAUGUGUGUGUGGGGCUGCAGGGAUUUUGUAGAAGGGGACAGGGGUUUUGUAUUGGGAAAGGAGUCUUUAUAAGGGGGGAUUAGCAGGGGAUUUGUGGAAGGGGGUUGCGGGGGUUUUGUAGACAGGGCAGUACAGGAUUU